GCAUAUCAAUAAGCGGAGGAAAAGAAACCAACAGGGAUUGCCCCAGUAACGGCGAGUGAAGCGGCAGCAGCUCAGAUUUGAAAUCUGGCCCCCCGGCGGGGGGCCCGAGUUGUGGUCUGCAGAGGAUGCCCUGGGCGCGGCGCCUUCCGAGUUCCCUGGAACGGGACGCCACAGAGGGUGAGAGCCCCGUCCGGUCGGACGCCAGGCCCGUGUAGGGCUCCUUCGACGAGUCGAGUAGUUUGGGAAUGCUGCUCAAAGUGGGAGGUAUAUGUCUUCUAAAGCUAAAUACCGGCCAGAGACCGAUAGCGCACAAGUAGAGUGAUCGAAAGAUGAAAAGCACUUUGGAAAGAGGGUUAAAGAGCACGUGAAAUUGCUGAAAGGGAAGCGCCCGCGACCAGACUUGGGCCCGGCAGGUCACCCAGGCUCUCGGGCCAGGGGCACUCUGCCGGGCGCAGGCCAGCAUCGGCUCGGCGCGGGGGACAAAGGCGGCGGGAACGUGGCUCCCCAGGGAGUGCUUAUAGCCCGCCGCGCCAUGCCCCGUGCCGGGCCGAGGCACGCGCACCGCAAGGAUGCUGGCGUAAUGGUCGCCGGCGACCCGUCUUGAAACACGGACCAAGGAGUCGUCCUCGUAUGCGAGUGUUGGGGUGCCAAACCCCUACGCGCAGUGAAAGCGAACGCAGGUGAGAGCCGAAGCCUCGGCGCAUCAUCGACCGAUCCUGAUGUUCUCGGAUGGAUUUGAGUAGGAGCAUACGGGGCCGGACCCGAAAGAAGGUGAACUAUGCCUGUGUAGGGUGAAGCCAGAGGAAACUCUGGUGGAGGCUCGCAGCGGUUCUGACGUGCGAAUCGAUCGUCAAACAUGGGCAUGGGGGCGAAAGACUAAUCGAACCUUCUAGUAGCUGGUUUCCGCCGA
rnacentral:rRNA from 2 species